rnacentral:lncRNA from 1 species
GUAUCUCUCUCUUACUCCUCCUCCUCCUCCUUCGCCGUCACACAAUCCCUUCUCCUCCCUCUUCCCCCUUUCGUCGCAGCUCUCCCGAUUCCCCGACACCAUCCUCCUCCUCCCUCUUUCACCCGUUCAUCGCAGCCCCCCGCCCCUCUUCCCCGAUCCAUCCCCCUCCUCCACUUCAUCACAGUCCCCGCCCCCCGUUUUCCUACUCCGAUCCCAACGGUCCCCUCUCAGUUUUCCUACUCCGGACCCGACAGCUCCCUCUCCAUUAUCUUGCUCCGGACCCGACAGCCCCCGUCUCCCUCCUCUACACCCCUCUUCGCCCUCUCUAUACAUCUUCCCGUCCCCUUUCCUUCUCCCUGAUAGUUACCCGCUACCCUCCCAACAAGUAGUCAGCAGCAUGUUUUGAGCAUUUACUUUAAAGAAAUAGCAAGUCACAGUAUGCAAGUUAAAUACUGUUGUUAAGAUAGAAAGCAGGAGAAGUGCUGCUUUUAUAAAGAGCAAAGAGAAUUGGGGAGUCUUAGAGAAAAAUAAAAAAACACGGAAAAGAUAGAACAAGAGAUAGCAGAGACAAUAAUUGGGUCACUGUCCAAAGAAAAUCAUAAUUAUUUGUCAAUAGAAUCAUGCACAAGUCGGACUAUUCCUCAUGUGAAGCAUUUUAAUUAAAAAUAUACCUAAGAUAAUACUAAUUUGACUAGGUUUCGCGAAAGAAGCUCCCUCAACAGCAACUGCUUAUUUUGAUGAAGUGUUUGGUUCAUCAAACCUCUUAGUUUUCUUAUUAUGUAUACUGCAUUGCAGUUUCCUUUUCAAGCACAUCAGAAAAUUUCAACACAAAACCCCAAAUGUUACAAAGGACUCGAUCAAUCUAAACUACAAGUUGAGUAAACAAAUAGAAUUUGACUUGAUUUCCAAACCCGAAAAUAGACCCAAAAUCUCAAAUGUAUUUGGUUAGGUAUAACCUUACACCUUUAUGUCAGCAUAGUGUGUUCUCUGCUGUAGUGCUGAAAGCAACUAUCUCAGCUACUUGAGGCUUGUUCGUACCUCAAAACACACAGGCCUGCUUAUAUUUGAAUUGUCAAAUCUUGUAUUUGCUGGUUUAGUUGGUGAUUUGAAGGGGCCUUUUCCAGUAACAACAGAAAGAGAUUUGAAUGCUCUUACUUUAACUACAGAUAUUUUCUUAUACAUAGUUCGAUGAUGCAGAAGAUCCAUAUGGCUGAUCAUGAAUAGUUUGGACAUCAUGGCUUUUGUUAUUAUUGUGGUUGUUUGCACUUGCUGGUUUUAUUGGCAAAUUCUCACUGAUCUAGGCUUUUUUUUUCUUCAUUAAUGAUAUUUAGCUGACGCCACAUAUAAUUUUUUUAACUGUAGUUGAAGUUAUUUACAUGACCAAUCUUUCUCAUAAAUUAAGUUCCUUUAUCAGCAUAGAACCAAAUAAACUAGUAGCAUUUCUUGAUUGAGGCAGUUUUCUUAUCUCUUUAUUCAUUUUUCAGAAAAUUUAUUGCCUUUCUCUGGUCUUCCAGCUAUGUUUUUUUUUUUUUUUUGUCAAGUUGCUCAUCAUCAUCAACAAUGCCCUUUUUAGCAUGUUGAACCUUACAAAUUACCCUUGUUAAAUAAUUAAACAGUGUCUUUUCUGCUUACCAGUCUUGCUAGACUUUUAACUAGAUCAUCUCUUUACAUUCUUGAUGAAAUGGAUCAAUUACUCUGGUAGUUCUCAUUUGAAAUGUUUCAGGUUUUAGUUGUAGGACAUUAGUGAAUCUGAUGUUAGAGAAAACAUUAUGCAUCUUCCACUUAUUCUGAAUUCUGUAGUACCAUUAGCAAGUCAUUGAUGUUCAACCUAUAAGUAUAAACUUGAGUAUCGUCUGUAUACGAUCGACAAUGUAAAUGCCUAUGCCACUCUUAUGCAGCAUAUUUGAUGAAGAUACAUUUGAUAUGGUUUUUAAAUUGCUACAGGAAUAUAGGAUGCUUGGUAGUGUCUAAACCCACCAACUACAAUAUAAAAAUAAGUGGAAGAUAGUGUCUGUGCUCUGGUGUUAUAUGAUGCCAGUAUUUUAGUGGUGGAGAAUUGCUCUGAUGUGAGCAUUUGAAUGAGUAACGAAUUAUAGGUACUCGUUAUCAACUCUCAAACACCAUUUAGAGACUUAUCUCUGGAAGAAUUGGCUGAUUGGAAUUGAAUGCAUGUGGAUUAACACAAGUGGUAUAGGAAUGCUGUCUGAGACAAAUGAUUAGUUGAAAGUUUUCAAUAUCCUUGAUUGGAGGCAGAAGUUGAAUUUGGACUUGGAGAGGGCAGAAAUAAGACUACUUUUCUUGUAUUUUUCUGCAAACAGUAGGUGAUACUGCCUCAAAAGACAAUGUUUUUCGUGCACAAGAGGCUCUUUUGCCUUCUCUCAUGUAACAAGUCCACCGUCCAUGUUUCUUCCUAUCAACUCUGCAGUCUGUUUAGCUUUUCCACUGCCGAAGAGCACAGUUCAAAUCAUGGAUCCAACUUUACGUUGGUCGACCCCCUUGAGUCAUGUGAACUUUCCUCAAAAGAGGCUGCAAAAAGGGCCAAGGAUCGCAUCUGUGAAAAAGAACUUUCAAGUUCAAGUCCUUCCAUUGAGUUCUUCAAGCAGAGCGGUUGGAGUGAUCCACUAGUCAUGAAGCUUUUGCAGAGGGAACCCAGGCUUCUACGUGCUAACGUAGAGACUAUCCUGAAGCCCAGGAUGAGAUCUUUGCAGGACAUGGGAUUUUCUGACACUGAAAUAGUUCAGCUGGUUUCAUCAUGUCCGUGUCUGCUCUAUUUACGUGAUAUCCAACCGAGGAUCGACUUCUGGAGGUCACUACUUGGUUCUAAUGAGAGAUUAAUUAAAGCCAGCAGGGGGAACAUGUUUCUCCUUACUUCUAGCGUGGCUCGAAAGGUUGAGCCCAAUAUAUCUCUCUUGAGGGAAUGUGGCAUCAGUGAGCAAUGCAUCACGCAGAUGGUGGUGGCAGUACCGAGUUUUUUUUGUCGAACGAACAAAUGUAUCGACGAAUCUAUCAAACAUGUUGAGGAGUUGGGUGUGUCACGUGACUGUAAAAUGUUCCCUGAUGCACUUUUAAAUGUCAUGACCCUGAGCUGGUCUAGGUUUCAUGCUACUUUUGCUACCCUGAUGAGCUUUGGGUGGUCCCAACCAGACAGUCUUGCUGCAUUCAGGAGGUAUCCAGUCAUUUGGAAUUACUCAAAGAAGAACUUAUGUGACAAGAUGACAUUCCUGAUGAAGGAAGCUGGUUGUGAGCUGACAUAUAUCGUUGGUCAUCCCGUGCUUCUUACAUAUAGCUUGGAGAAGAGGUUGAGACCUCGAUAUGAAGUUAUGAAUUUUCUUUAUCAGAAUAAAUUGCUGGAUAAAGGACAUGACCUGCUAUCUGUCAUCCUGCUCUCUGAAGAGAAGUUCAGAAACAAAUUCCUUUUCCUGCUACGCAACGAGAAAUUUAUUGCUCAAUAUGAUUCCUAUGUUGUUGCUGUGCAGGGAAAGCAUGACGUUAUUGCGGAAAACUAGGAUUGCAAGUGCUUCCUUAAGACAAAGUAUAACCUAUUGCAUGCUGACUGCAAAUUAAACACUUUAUAUUUGUGACAAUUUAAAUUCUGCAAGAGUUUCUUGGAGUAUUAACUUCCAUGUUGAUUUGGUGAUUGUUCUAUUUAUGUUUUCUACAACAAAAGGUACUCGUUCUUUUAUGCUGAUGUCUCAGAAAUUGGUGUGGGGGAAAGUCAAUUACUUAAGAAAGGUAACCAAAAUAUCAAGCUUCUGUGUUCUGUUUCUAUCAUAUUUACCUGAUUCUGGCAGCCAUAUUGAUUACCGUGCUGUCAUUUAGAUGAUUGUGAUCUAAUUUAAUAAAGAUACCUUCCUUUUGAAUGGGGACAUCUCAAAGAAUUAUGUAAGAGCCGCUUGGACGGAAAAUACUUUAAAGGCAACCGCAGAUGUGGAAAUGACUAUAACAUUUUUGUUGUAGUCAUCCACAGUCGCUCAUUAAAUAAUUAAGUCCAGUUUAACUGUUUAAUCGAACGCAUUAAACAGCCGAUCUAUAUUAAGUUUGAUACACAUCUGUAUUGUUAUAUAAUUAGAUUGUGUGUUUUACUUUGCUUGUGCGAUCUAAUAGACCCAACGUGGCUCCCGUGUUUUGUUUUAUUUAACUAUUAACGCCCAUGCAUUUUGGAUCAUUUAUGUUUAUGUUUGAAUUCAUACCCAGAAUGAUUAUUGAAUUUGAGCUUCAUUGGGUGCAUAUCUAUUUUUUUGAUAAUAAUAGUUGAAUUAUAUUAAGAGAACAAUUACGAGGUAGUUAAUAAAAUGAACACAUCUAUGGCAUAUAUCUACAGUAAGUUAUGAAGCUUCUUUUUUUUUUAUUGUAAUGUUGUAUUAUCAUUUUAGUGUCUGAAAUAUAAGAAACAGUAUUAUUAUUUUUUAUAAUAUGUUUAGUUGACAAAAUUUUAAUUUAACUAAAGAUUCUAAGAGGAAAGAUUCAAAAGAUUGGAUAGAGAAGAUUAUUGGAUGGUUGUUGAGCGACUACGGAUUAUAAGCUGAAAAGUUAAGAUUAUUUUCAGAAGUUCCGAAAGAAUUUAAAAGAUAUCUGUUGCUAUUCUUUAUAAGAAUAUAUAAACAUCGACUACUAAGAAUUCAAGAUAAUAGUAUAUGUAAUUUUUGCUUCGAUUAUGUUAUGAAACUUCAUUUUUUUCUUAUAAUGUUGUUUUAUCAUUUUGGUGUCUUCAACAUAAGCAAUAGUAUCAUUAUUUUUUUAGUGAUAUGUUUAGUUACUAAAAUUUUAACUUUAUAAAAAAUUCUAAGAGGAAAGACUCAAAAAAGUGAACAAAAUAUAUUGUUGGAUGGUUGUGGGGGAACUAUUGAUUAUAAAUCAGUAAUGAUGUUAUGAUGUUGAAGAGUGUAAACUUCUUUUUAAAAAUUCUGAAAAGACAUAAAAGAUAUGUAUUUGUAAGAUUUUGGAUUAUAAAAAAAUACAAAUGGAAUUUAUAUUUUUCAGCAAUAGUUUUUGAACCAAACAACUUUGAAUAAUUAUCUUAUUGAAUUGUUUCUCAGCACUUACGUAUUUUUUAUCAUGGGAAGGAUCUAUUAAGUUGCAGCAUCAUCAGGCCUCAACAAAAAUCAUCUAUAUUUCUGUAAGGUCGAUAAAGUCAUCAUAUAAGUAAGAUACUUGAAACUGAUUAUGACAGACUACUUCUAUUGGGAUGCAUAUGUAAAUUAUGACAGACUACUCCAAAAUAGACCCAAAAUCUCAAUGUAUUUAGUUAAGUAUAACUAGUCCUAACUAAAUCACAACUGAUUUAUUGUGACGGGUUUGAAUCACAACUGAAUCAAUGCAUUUAGUUAGGUAUAAAUAUGACCGGUUUGAAUUGAAUCAAACAGGUUCGUUGAUUGCAAAUCAAAUCGUAAUCUACCAGGGGUAAUUUAAUUGAGGUUUCUAGGUUUGAAAAAUUAGAAUCAAUGAUCCCAUAAUUGAUUAUUCCGCUUCCUAUUUAAACCAUCUAUUUGAUGGUGUUCUAUAUAGAUAAAAACCUCGAUCAGAUAGGUUCUCGAUGGAUAAUUGGGCUUAAACAAUUGGGCCCAAUAGUUGGACCAACAAUCGAAUGAAUGUCAAAUUGGUUAUAUUUAGGGAUACUUUAGUUAUUUUAUAAUUAAAAAUAUUAAAAAUUAGAAAAUAAAUUAGUCCUUCCAAUAAGCAAAUAAUAGCUAGUUAUGAAGAUAUUUUAGGAAAAAAAAUUUAAAAAUCCUAUAGAUACCCCAAAAAUCUUUUAUUUUUUUCCAGAUUACUUGUUGAAGGUUGAACGGUUUGAUGCUCUUUUCUUAAUCCGAUGGCAAGUGGAAGCUAUCACUUUACCACCUAAGAGGCUUUUGGAAAUUUGAUAUUGGUAAUUCAAGAAAACCAACGUAUCAAUGUUGAUGUUAAGAUGUUGAUAUGAUGGCUUUUAAAAAUAUAAGAAGAUAUGAUGACCAAACUCAAGUUAGACAUCUUCUAAGUUAUACUUUAAAAAUGUCUGAAACACUGAUGGCUCCUUCCAUAUCAUAUGUAAUUAUUGAGAUCAAAUUUUUAAAUAUAAAGAAGGAAGAGGAUAUAGAAUAUUUUGAAAGAAUAUUACGAAGAAACAUCCAUCACAAGUUAGUACGGUGAAAGUCAAAAGUAAAUUUUCAGAUACCCUACUAAUCUCACUUUUUGUUAUUCUAUUAAAAAAAUUAUGAAACAUUAGCUAUAUUUAUUUUUGUUAAAUAUUUAUUUUUUUAGUUUUGGUGAACAAGUUGGAUUUAUUGAUUAUUAUCAAUAGGCUUUAAAUCAUAUCACAUAAUGAAUUUUCAUAUCACUCUUGCUCGCACUUUAUAUAAUCUUUAUAAAAAUAAUUAUCAUGUUUUUAUUUAUAUUGAUAUUUGGAGUUCAAAUGUACUCAUAAUAUUGUUAUUGGAUUGAUAGUGAUUGGACCAUGCAAAAUAAAUUAUUGCUUUUAGAGAAGUUCAGAAAGAAAUUUCUUUUCCUGCUAGGCGAGGAGAAAUUUAUUCCUCUAUAUGAUUCCUAUGUUGCAGCUAAUUCAGAGACUUAAAUUUGAGCUACGUUGUUGGUUGUAUCUCUAAUUUUUUUUAUAGUAACAGUUUAAUUGGUUGUAUCUCUAUUUUUUUUAUAUAGUAACAGUUUAUUUGUAUUAAGAGAACAAUUAAUAAUAUGCACACAUCUAUAUCUCCUAUUAAGCAAGCUAUUUUAUUCUUGUGAAGUUAAUGAAAAAAAUAAGGCAGAUUUUAUAAUUUAAAUGAUAAAAAGAUUAGAAGAUUUUCUAGCGAUGUUUUUACCUGAUGGAAUUCAAUAUAUAAACUCUUUAAAAAAUAUUUCGAAUAUAAAUAGUUAUUAUAUAUUUUUAUUACAAAUAAUAUUAUGAAAGUUCGCUUAUAUUUGCAACAUUGGAAUGUGUGGGAUAAAAUUUUAAAGAUUUUAAAACUGUUUAAUAAUGUAAUAUAUACUUUUACUGGUGUUUAUUAUCUUACUAUGCAUAUUUUUUUGGUUGUUUGCAUUAAUAUGCUUGGUGAAUUAUAAGAACAUCAAUAUGAUAAUAAUUUAAAUAUGACAAUAGUGAUUAUAAAAUUAAAAAGGAUAAAUUAUUUUUUAAUUCUAUCGAUUUAUUUAAUUACAUAUUUAAUUACAUUUGACUUUAGUAAUUAUUCAAUUAUUUAACCAUUUAUUAUGAAAUUUAGCGGUAAAUGAUAUUGGUCAUAAAAUAAGAGAUAUUAAAAAAUUUAUUGUUAACUUAUAUAACUAUUAUAGUGCUAACUAUAGUAGACAACAUGGUACCUUUCUAACUAUAGUAGACAAAUUAUUUUUAAAUAAAAUAAUAAAAAAAAAUUAUUGGUUCAAACUUGAAUCGAAAUGGAUCAAACCGAAACCAAUUCUUGCCGAUUCGAUUUUUAUUCCAAAUUUUGAAUUGACAAUUUUUGAAAUGGAUGAUUCUGAAAUGGUGACUAAGUCUUAAAUAUAACUUAUAUUUAAAUCAUCAAAUUUUAUAUUUGCUGGUUUAGUUUGUGAAUUGAAGGACAAUGUAUUUGUAACAGUAGAAAGAGAUUUGAAUGCUUUAAAUUUGACUAUAUAUAUGUUUUCUUACACAGAGCAUAAAGAGUUCGGAUAUUUUAUGGCUAUUGUUAUUAGUGUGAUUGUUUGCACUUAUUGGAUUUAUUGGCAAAUUCUUACUGAUUUAGAUUAUGCCAGUGAAGAUUCUCACUGAUUUAGAUUAUGGCUUUAUUGAGAGAAAGUUCUUUACUACAGCUGAAGCCACUGAAGUCAAUGAGAGCCCGAUGAGUGGGCCGGGCGAGAGAGUUCAACCGGGUGCAGCCCAGGAGCCCGCCUGAUUCAGGUUGUGUCGAACCCCCGAGUCAAAUCAAUUUGAGGCAAUGGUUCGAUUGAACCAGAUGAGAACGGCGUCCUCAAAAUUCGCACCCGUGCCCUAAAUGCAGCGGUGAAACUGUCUCCUUAUUCACAGCCACUGCAACUGCGGCGUGUACCUUGGCGAUAGCCGGCGGCGGCGGCGGCGGCGGCAUCUUCCUCCGUCGAGCUCUUAUCGCUGCGGCGUUUUCCUCGGCGAACGGUGGAUGCUGAGGCUUCCUCUCCGUCAGCGAACGGUACAGCGCCCGGUAUCUCUCUCUUACUCCUCCUCCUCCUCCUUCGCCGUCACACAAUCCCUUCUCCUCCCUCUUCCCCCCUUUCGUCGCAGCUCUCCCGAUUCCCCGACACCAUCCUCCUCCUCCCUUCUCCCCCCUCCUCCCUCUUUCACCCGUUCAUCGCAGCCCCCCGCCCCUCUUCCCCGAUCCCUCCCCCUCCUCCACUUCAUCACAGUCCCCGNNNNNNNNNNNNNNNNNNNNNNNNNNNNNNNNNNNNNNNNNNNNNNNNNNNNNNNNNNNNNNNNNNNNNNNNNNNNNNNNNNNNNNNNNNNNNNNNNNNNNNNNNNNNNNNNNNNNNNNNNNNNNNNNNNNNNNNNNNNNNNNNNNNNNNNNNNNNNNNNNNNNNNNNNNNNNNNNNNNNNNNNNNNNNNNNNNNNNNNNNNNNNNNNNNNNNNNNNNNNNNNNNNNNNNNNNNNNNNNNNNNNNNNNNNNNNNNNNNNNNNNNNNNNNNNNNNNNNNNNNNNNNNNNNNNNNNNNNNNNNNNNNNNNNNNNNNNNNNNNNNNNNNNNNNNNNNNNNNNNNNNNNNNNNNNNNNNNNNNNNNNNNNNNNNNNNNNNNNNNNNNNNNNNNNNNNNNNNNNNNNNNNNNNNNNNNNNNNNNNNNNNNNNNNNNNNNNNNNNNNNNNNNNNNNNNNNNNNNNNNNNNNNNNNNNNNNNNNNNNNNNNNNNNNNNNNNNNNNNNNNNNNNNNNNNNNNNNNNNNNNNNNNNNNNNNNNNNNNNNNNNNNNNNNNNNNNNNNNNNNNNNNNNNNNNNNNNNNNNNNNNNNNNNNNNNNNNNNNNNNNNNNNNNNNNNNNNNNNNNNNNNNNNNNNNNNNNNNNNNNNNNNNNNNNNNNNNNNNNNNNNNNNNNNNNNNNNNNNNNNNNNNNNNNNNNNNNNNNNNNNNNNNNNNNNNNNNNNNNNNNNNNNNNNNNNNNNNNNNNNNNNNNNNNNNNNNNNNNNNNNNNNNNNNNNNNNNNNNNNNNNNNNNNNNNNNNNNNNNNNNNNNNNNNNNNNNNNNNNNNNNNNNNNNNNNNNNNNNNNNNNNNNNNNNNNNNNNNNNNNNNNNNNNNNNNNNNNNNNNNNNNNNNNNNNNNNNNNNNNNNNNNNNNNNNNNNNNNNNNNNNNNNNNNNNNNNNNNNNNNNNNNNNNNNNNNNNNNNNNNNNNNNNNNNNNNNNNNNNNNNNNNNNNNNNNNNNNNNNNNNNNNNNNNNNNNNNNNNNNNNNNNNNNNNNNNNNNNNNNNNNNNNNNNNNNNNNNNNNNNNNNNNNNNNNNNNNNNNNNNNNNNNNNNNNNNNNNNNNNNNNNNNNNNNNNNNNNNNNNNNNNNNNNNNNNNNNNNNNNNNNNNNNNNNNNNNNNNNNNNNNNNNNNNNNNNNNCUCUCUUACUCCUCCUCCUCCUCCUUCGCCGUCACACAAUCCCUUCUCCUCCCUCUUCCCCCUUUCGUCGCAGCUCUCCCGAUUCCCCGACACCAUCCUCCUCCUCCCUUCUCCCCCCUCCUCCCUCUUUCACCCGUUCAUCGCAGCCCCCGCCCCUCUUCCCCGAUCCCUCCCCCUCCUCCACUUCAUCACAGUCCCCGCCCCCCGUUUUCCUACUCCGAUACCAACGGUCCCGUCUCAGUUUUCCUACUCCGGACCCGACAGCCCCCUCUCCAUUAUCUUGCUCCGGACCCGACAGCCCCCGUCUCCCUCCUCUACACCCCUCUUCGCCCUCUCUAUACAUCUUCCCGUCCCCUUUCCUUCUCCCUGAUAGUUACCCGCUACCCUCCCAACAAGUAGUCAGCAGCAUGUCUUGAGCAUUUACUUUAAAGAAAUAGCAAGUCACAGUAUGCAAGUUAAAUACUGUUGUUGAGAUAGAAAGCAGGAGAAGUGCUGCUUUUAUAAAGAGCAAAGGGAAUUGGGGAGUCUUUGAGAAAAAUAAAAAAACACGGAAAAGAUAGAACAAGAGAUAGCAGAGACAAUAAUUGGGUCACUGUCCAAUGAAAAUCAUAAUUAUUUGUCAAUAGAAUCAUGCACAAGUCUGACUAUUCCCCAUGUGAAGCAUUUUAAUUAAAAAUAUACCUAAGAUAAUACUAAUCUGACUAGGUUUCCCAAAAGAAGCUCUCUCAACAGAAACUGCUUAUUUUGAUGAAGCGUUUGGUUCAUCAAACCUCUUAGUUUUCUUAUUAUGUUUACUGCAUUGCAGUUUCCUUUUCAAGCACAUCAGAAAAUUUCCACACAAAACCCCAAAUGAUACAAAGGAAUCGACUCAAUAUAAAGGACAAGUUGAGUCAACAACUAGAAUUUGACUUGAUUUCCAAACCCGAAAAUAGACCCAAAAUCUCAAUGUAUUUGGUUAGGUAUAACCUUACACCUUUACGUCAGCAUAGUGUGUUCUCUGCUGUAGUGCUGAAAGCAACUAUCUUUGCUCCUUGAGGCUAGUUCGUACCUCAAAACACACAGGCCUGCUUAUAUUUGGAUUAUCAAAUCUUGUAUUUGCUGGUUUAGUUGGUGAUUUGAAGGAGAUUUUGCAGGUGACAAUAGCAAGAGAUAUUAAUGCUCAUAAUUUAACUACAGAUAUUUUCUUAUACAGAGUUCAAUGAUGCAAAACAUCCAUAUGGAUGAUCAUGAAUUGUUUGAACAUCAUGGCUUUUGUUAUUAUUUUGGUCGUUUGCACAUGCUGGUUUUAUUGUCUAAUUCUCACUGAUAUAGGCUUUUUUUUUCUUCAUUAAUGAUAUGUAGCUGUGGCAACAUAUAAUUUAUUUUACUGUAGUUGAAGUUAUUUACAUGAUCAGUCUUUCUCAUAAAUUAAGUUCCUUUAUCAGCAAAGAACCAAAUAAACUAGUAGCAUUUCUUGAUUGAGGCAGUUUUCUUAUCUCUUUAUUCAUUUUUCAGAAUAUUUAUUGCCUUUCUCUGGUCUUCCAGAUAUGUUGUUUUUUUUUUGUCAAGUUGCUCAUCAUCAUCAACAAUGCCCUUUUUAGCAUGUUGAACCUUACAAAUUACUGUUGUUAAUUAAUUAAACAGUGUCUUUUCUACUUACGAGUCUUGCUAGACUUUUAACUAGAUCAUCUCUUUACAUUCUUGAUGAAAUGGAUCAAUUACUCUGGAAGUGCUCAUUUGAAAUGUUUCAGAUUUUAGUUGUAGGACAUUAGUGAAUUUGAUGUUAGAGAAAACAUUAUGCAUCUUCCAGUUAUUCUGAAUUCUGUAGUACCAUUUGCAAGUCAUUGAUGUUCAACCUAUAAGUAUAAACAUGAGUAUCGUCUGUAUACGAUCAACAUUGUAAAUGCCUAUGCCACUCUUAUGCAACAUAUUUGAUGAAUUUGAUAUAGUUUUUAAUUUGCUACAGGGAUAUAGGAUGCUUGGUAGUGUCUAAACCCACCAACUACAAUAUAAAAAUAAGUGGAAGAUAGUGUCUGUGCUCUGGUGUUAUAUGAUGCCAGUAUUUCAGUGGUGGAGAAUUGCUCGGAUGUGAGCAUUAGAAUGAGUAACGAAUUAUAGGUACUCGUUAUCAACUCUCAAACACCAUUUAGAGACUUAUCUCUGGAAGAAAUGGCUGAUUGGAGCUGAAUGCAUGUGGAUUAACACGAGUGGUAUAGGAAUGUUGUCUGAGACAGAUGAUUAGUAGAAAGUUUUCAACGUCCUUGAUUUGAGUUAGAAGAGGAAUUUGGACUUGGAGAGGGCAGAAUUAAGACUACUUUUCUUGUAUUUUUCUGCAAACAGUACAUGAUACUGCCUCAAAAGACAAUGUUUUUGGUGCAGAAGAGGCUCUUUUGCCUUCUCUCGUGUAACAAGUCCACCGUCCAUGUUUCCUCCUAUCAACUCUGCAGUCUGUUUAGCUUUACCACUGCCGAAGAGCACAGUUUAAAUCAUGGAUCCAACUUUACGUUGGUCGACCCCCUUGAGUCAUGUGAACUUUCCUCAAAAGAGGCUGCAAAAAGGGCCAAGGAUCGCAUCUGUGACAAAGAACUUUCAAGUUCAAGUCCUUCCAUUGAGUUCUUCAAGCAGAGCGGUUGGAGUGAUCCACUAGUCAUGAAGCUUUUGCAGAGGGAACCCAGGCUUCUACGUGCUAACGUAGAGACUAUCCUGAAGCCCAGGAUGAGAUCUUUGCAGGACAUGGGAUUUUCUGACACCGAAAUAGUUCAGCUGGUUUCAUCAUGUCCGUGUCUGCUCUAUUUACGUGAUAUCCAACCAAGGAUCAACUUCUGGAGGUCACUUCUUGGUUCUAAUGAGAGGUUAAUUAAAGCCAGCAGGGGGAACAUGUUUCUCCUUACUUCUAGCGUGGCUCAAAAGAUUGAGCCCAAUAUAUCUCUCUUGAGGGAACGUGGCAUCAGUGAGCAAUGCAUCACGCAGAUGUUGGUGGCAGUACCGAGUUUUUUUUGUCGAAUGAACAAAUAUAUCGACGAAUCUAUCAAACGUGUUGAAGAGUUGGGAGUGUCACGUGACUCUAAAAUGUUCCCUCAUGCACUUUUAACAGUCAUGACCUUGAGCAGGUCCAGGUUUGAUGCUACCUUUGCAACCUUGAUGAGCUUUGGGUGGUCCCAACCAGACAGCCUUGCUACAUUCAGGAGGUAUCCAUUCAUUUGGAAUUACUCAAAGAAGAACUUAUCUGACAAGAUGACAUUCCUGAUGAAGGAAGCUGGUUGUGAGCUGACAUAUAUCAUUGGCCAUCCCACGCUUCUUACAUUUAGCUUGGAGAAGAGGUUGAGACCUCGAUGUGAAGUUAUGAAUUUUCUUGAUCAUAAUAAAUUGCUGGAUAAAGGACAUGACCUGCUAUCUGUCAUGCUGCUAAGCGAAGAGAAGUUCAGAAACAAAUUCCUUUUCCUGCUACGCAAGGAGAAAUUUAUUGCUCAAUAUGAUUCCUAUGUUGUUGCUGUGCACGGAAAGCAUGACGUUAUUGCCGAAAACUAGGAUUGCAAGUGCUUCCUUAAGACAAAGUGUCGACCUAUUGCAUGCUGACUGCAAAUUAAUCAUUUUACAUUUGUGACAAUUUAAAAUUCUCCUUGAGUUUCUUGGAGUAUAACUUCCCUGUUGAUUUGGUGAUUGUUCUUCUAUUUAUGUUUUCUACAACAAAAGGUACUCAUUCUUUUAUGCUGAUGUCUCAGAAAUUGGUAUGGGGGAAAGUCAAUUACUUAAGAAAGAUAACCAAAAUAUCAAGCUUUUGUGUUCUGUUUCUAUCAUAUUUACCUGAUUCCGCCAGCCAUAUUGAUAACUGUGCUGUCAUUUAGAUGAUUGUGAUCUAAUUUAAUAAGGAUACCUUCCUUUUGAAUGGGGACAUCUCAAAGAAUUAUGUAAGAGCCGCUUGGACAGAAAAUACUUCAAAGGCAACCACAGAUGUGGAUAUGACUAACAUUUUUGUUGUAGUCAUAUACACACUCGCUCAUUAAAUAAUUAAGUCCAGUUUAACCGUUUAAUUGAACGCAUUAAACAAACGAUCUAUAUUAAGUUUGAUACACAUCUGUAUUGUUAUAUAAUUAGAUUAUGUGUUUUACUUUGCUUGUGCGAUCUAAUAGACCCAACAUGGCUCCCGUUUAAUUGUGUGUUUCAUUUUUUUCUUAUAAUGUUGUAUUAUCAUUUUGGUGUCUUCAACAUAAGGAAUAGUAUCAUUAUUUUUUUAGUGAUAUGUUUAGUUACUAAAAUUUUAACUUAAUAAAUAAUUCUAAGAGGAAAGACUUAGAAAAGUGAACAAAAUAUAUUGUUGGAUGGUUGUUGGGGAACUAUUGAUUAUAAAUCAGUAAUGAUGUUAUGAUGUUAAAGAGUGUAAAAUUAUUUUUAAAAAUUCUGAAAAGACAUAAAAGAUAUGUAUUUGUAAGAUUUUGGAUAAUAAAAAAAUACAAAUGGAGUUUACAUUUUUCAGCAAUAGUUUUUGAACCAAACAAGUUUCAAAAAAUUUACUGCUUAUGUCCUCAUUUAUUUUUCAAUAUAUUCCCUAUUAUGCAUUAAUAGACCUAGUUGAAUAGAUGAUAAUGCUAUAAAUCAGAUACUCCUCAUGAUUGAAAAAUUAGAAAAUAUCAAGAUUUUUGUAUUUAAGUUAUUCGGACUCAUUAAAACUCUACGACAACAUGUUUUUUUUAGUUAAUAAUUUAUUGAUAAGUCCCUUCCACAAGUCACUGACAAUCACUUCCUCAUAUGUUUAUUUCAUAAUAUAAUUAUUUAUUUUAAUUUUUUUAAAAAAUAAAUGGCUAACAUAAGAUUUCAUCACGUGAGGAUAUUGAGUUCAUUAAAAAAGGUCUUCUUCUUCGUGGCCCCUUUAGCAAGAAACUUUCAAUUAGGAAGAUCCGUGAAAACAACAAACAAUAACCUUUAGUACUUUGAAUAAGUAUCUUAUUAAAUUAUUUCUCGAGCACUCUACAUUUACAUGUUUGAUCGGACCAAUUAAGUUGCAAUAUUAUCGACUACUUCUGUCUUUUUUUUUUUUCGUUAGGCCUUGAUAAAAAUCAUAUAUAUUUCUGUAAAGUCGAUAAAGUUAUCAUCUAAGUAAGAUACUUGAAACUAGUUAUGACAUACUACUAUUGGGAUGCAUCCGUAAAUUAUAACAGACUUCUCCAAAAUAGACCCAAAAUCUCAAUGUAUUUAGUUAAGUAUAACUAGUCCUAACUAAAUCACAACUGGUUUGUUGUGAUGGGUUUGAAUCACAACUAAAUCAAUGCAUUUAGUUAGGUAUAAAUAUGACUGGUUUGAAUUGAAUCAAACCAGAAUCGAUGGUUCGUUGAUUGCAAAUCAAAUCGUAAUCUACUAGGGGUUGUUUAAUUGAGGUUUCAAGGUUUGAAAAAUUAGAAUCAACGAUACCAUAAUUGAUUAUUCCGCUUCCUAUUUAAACCAUCGAUUUGAUGGUGUUUUAUAUAGAUAAAAACCUUGAUCAAAUAGGUUGUAGAUAGAUAAUUUGGCUUAAACGAUUGGGCCCAAUAGUAUGUGCAUGGACUAUAUUUAGGGGUACUUUAGUUAUUUUAUAAUUAAAAAUAUUAAAAAUUAGAAAACAAAUUAGUCCUUCCAAUAAGCAAAUAAUAGCUAGUUAUGAAGAUAUUUUAAGAAAAAAUUAAAACCCUAUAGAUACCCCAAAAAUCUUUUAUUGUUUCUCGCAUCAUCGAUUAAGUACUUGUUGAAGUUUGAACGCUUUGAUGCUUUUUUCUUAAUCUGAUGGCAAGUGGAAGCUAUCACUUCACCACAGAGGAGGCUUUUGAAAAUCUGAUCUUGAUAAUUCAAGAAAGCCAACAUAUCAAUGUUGAUGUUAAGAUGUUGAUAGAUGACUUUUAAAAAUAUAGAAGAAAGAAGAUAUGAUGACCAAACUCAAGUUAGACAUCUUCAAGUUAUACUUUAAAAACAUCUGAAACACUGAUAGCUCCUUCCAUAUUGUAAUUAUUGAGACUAAAUUUUUAAAUACAAAGAGGGAAGAAGAUAUAGAAUAUUUUGAAAGUAUAUCAAGAAGAAACAUCCAUUACAAGUUGGUACGAUUAUACCAGUGAAGAUUCUCAAUAAAAAGUUAAUUUUUCUUCAUUAAUGAUUGGUUGCAUAAAGUUCUUUACUAUACUAUAGCAGAAGCGAUUGACGACACCGGGCGCCCGAUAAGUGGGCCGGGCGGAUGAGUUCGACCGGGUGCGGCCCAGGCGCCGCAUGAUUUGGCUGUGUCGAGCCUUAGUCAAGUCUAUUUGGAACUAAGGUUCGAUUGAACCAGAUGAGAACGGCAUCCUCAAAGUCGCACCCGUGCCCUAAAUGCCGCGGUGAAACUGUCUCCUCCUCUACAGCGACCACGACUGCGGCGUUUUCCACGGAGAACGGUGCAUGCUGCGGCUUCCUCUCCGUCGGCGAACGGUGACAGCGCCCGGUAUCUCUCUCUUACUCCUCCUCUUCCUCCUUCGCCGUUAGUUAUAUGUGCUUUCCCUGCACAUCAUCAACAGUGGCUUCUUUAGCAUGUUGAACCUCACAAAUUACUGUUGUUAAUUUCUUAAACAGUGUGUUUUCUAAUUACCAGUCUUGUUAGACCUAUAACAAAAUCAUCUCUUUACAUUCUUGUUGAAAAGGAUCAAUUAUUCUGGAAGUGCUCAUUUGAACUGUUACAGGUUUUAGUUGUAGGACAUUAGUGAAUCUGAUGUUAGACAAAACAUUAUGCAUCUUCCACCUAAUCUUAGUGCUGAAGUACCCAUUGCAAGUCAUCGACUGAUGUUCAACCUAUUAGUACAAAGUUGAAAAUCAUCUGUAUACAAUCAACAUAGUAAAUGCCAUUGUCACUCUUAUGCUGCAUAUUUGAUGAAAAUACAUUUGAUAUAAUUUUUCAAUAUCUGCAUGGAUAUAGUGUGCUUCACAGUUUCUAAAGCUACUACCUACAAUAGAUAAAUAGCGGAAGGUAGUGUCAGUGUGCAUGUGUCAUAUCAAGACAUUAUUUCAGUGGUGGUUAAUACCUUGGAUGUGAGCAUGGUAAUAAGUAAAUGAUCAAUGGUACCCGUAAUCAACAUUCAAACACCAUUUAGAGGCUUACAUCUGAAAGAAAUGGUUAAUGGGAACUGAAUGCAGGUGGAUUUACGUGAGUGGUAGGGGAAUGUUAUCCGAUACAGAUGAUUAGUUGGAAGCUUUCAACUUCCUUUUGGUUGGAAGCAGACACAGAAAAUAUAUUUAGUUCAGCAAUAAAACUACUUGUGUUUUUCUGCAAAUAGUGUGUGAUACUGCUUCAAAAUAUAAUGUUUUUGGUGCAAAAGAGGCUCUUUUGCAUUCUCCCAUUUAACAAGUCCACCAUCCAUGUUUCUUCCUAUGAACUCUUCAGUCUGCUUAGCUUUUCCACCGCCAAAGACCAAAUUUCAGAUCAUAAAUCCUACUUUACAGUGGCCAACCCCCUUCAAUCAUGUGAACUUUCCUCGGAAACGGCUGCAAAAACAGCCAAGUUCCUCACCUGUCACACAAAAUCUUCAAGUUCAAGUCUUUCCAUUGAGUUCUUUAAGCAGAGCGGUUGGAGUGAUGCACGAGUCUUGAAGCUUACCCAGAGGGAACCCAGGUUCCUAUGUGCUGACAUAGAGACUGCCAUGAAGCCCAAGUUGAGAUCUUUGUAGGACAUGGGAUUUUCUGACACUGAAAUAGUUCAGCUGGUUUCAUCAUGUCCGACUAUGCUCCUUCUACAUGACAUCAAACAGAGGAUCAACUUCUGGAGGUCACUUCUUGGUUCUAAUGAGAGGUUAAUUAAAGCCAGCCGGAGGAACAUGUUUCUCUUUACUUCUAGCUUGGCUCGAAAGAUUGAGCCCAAUGUAUCUCUCUCGAGGGAAUGUGGCAUCAGUGAGCAACGCAUUGCGCAGAUGGUGGUGAGACUACCAAAUUUUUUAUGUCAAACAGAAAAAAUGUAUCAAGGAAGUUAUCAAAUAUGUUGAGGAGUUGGGUGUGUCACGUGGCUGUAAAAUGUUCCCUCGUGUACUAUUAGCAGUCAUGACCCUGAGCAGGUCCAGGUUUGACGCUACCUUUGCAACCCUGAUUAAUUAUGGGUGGUCCCAACCAGAUUGCGUUGCUGCAUUCAGGAAGUAUCCAUCCAUUUAGUGUUUGCCAAAGAAGACCUUAUGUGACUAGAUGACAUUCCAGAUGAAGGAAGCUGGUUGUGAGUUGACAUAUAUCAUUUGCCGUCCUAUAACGAUUUUAGCUAGAAUUGCCUAAGACAUAAGGUACCUUUGCGUCAAAGACACGAACUUAGCUUGCGUUGUCUAUGUCGCGCUUCGUCCUUACGAUUUACGUUCGCAAAGAUUAGCCCACUUGCAACCUCUCGCAGGUCUCGAAACAUCUGUAAAAGAGAAAGUUGAUUAGUUUAAAGAACGAGCGACGGACAAGUCCCGACGUCUCGCGAAAAAGAGAAGCUUUACAAGUAAUUCAGCGAGCAACUUGUAUGCACAAGAGAAAAGAGGGAGAGGGGGAAAACAAGGAUUUUAGAAGGUUGAACGAACAGUUGUAAGUCCGCAAACAGUUGCUCACCCGACACUAUACCGAGGUCUCAUUCAGCCUUGUGCCACCCAGGUGGUUCUAGGGUGCUGAGAUGGCUAACGUUUCACGUGCAGCAGCGGGCUGCAGAAAUCAGCCUGUGGCAUGGGAAAACAGAGCCUUUUUGGGGUCGUUUUGCUUGGUUCGGCGAGUGGUCACACCGUAGCGUUAUAACUUAUUCGAACUUACAUUUUUACAAACAAAAAGACUUAAAACUAAGCCAAAACAUGUUGCCAAGCAAUUAUACAUGUAGACGAGAACGACGAAUGAUUCGGUGAACGGAGUUGUUCAAGGUGCGCAACGACCAUUCAUAACAUUCUCCCCCACUCAAAUUGUCGAUGCCCUCGUCGACGCUUGUUGAUAGUUGUUGAUGAUUGCUUCUUCAUGUCAUAGGGUGUCUUCAGGCUCCCAACUAGCUUCAGAUCGGGGAAGCUUUCGCCACUUCACCAAGUACACGGUCUGCUCAGCUCUAGUGGGUAGCUUUAUCUUGCGAUCUGCUAGAAUGGUUUCAACUCGCUUUUCGUAGGAGGCUGUGGUGGGGGGUAGCCAAGUUGGAACACUUCGGGAAGCAUCUUGCGGAUCCGAGUGGUAGGCUUUCAAGUUGCUGGCGUGAAGAAUAUUGUGAAUGUUGAACCACGUCGGCAGCUGCAACUUGUAGGAGACAUUAUCCACCCUACUGAUAAUUGGGAAGGGCCCUUCAUACUUGCGCACCAAUCCUUUAUGUAUUUUGUUUCUAAAGAAUUAGAGUGAUGCUGGUUGGAGCUUGACCAACACCAAAUCGUCGAUCUUGAACUCUUACGGUCGCCUACCAAAGUUUGCCCACUUCAUUCUUUUUGCUGUCUUCUCCAAGUAAGUCCACACAAUAUCUACAUUUCGGUGUCACUCCCUUGCAAAGUGGUAGGCUGAUGGAUUACUCCCAGUAUAUCCAAUUACUUUAGUGUGAGGAGUUGACGGUUGUUACCCUGUAAUAAUCUCGAAAGGGCUCUUGUUGGAUGCAGAGCUUCGCUUCAAGUUAUAGGAGAAUUGGGCAAUGUCCAAUAACUUCAUCCAAUCUUGUUGGUUGGCACUCACGUAGUGCCGAAGAAUAUUGCUGUAGGAGAUGAAAGCCACUGUCUCGACAAUCUUAGACUUGUUCUUCGAAUCAAAAUACAAUGCGUUGCCAAUAUUUAGAUGAUCAAAUCUUAUAUUUGCUGGUUUAGUUUGAAGGAGAAUAUAAUACUGGUAACAAUAGAAAGAGAUUUUAAUGCUUUGACUAAAUAUGUUUUCUUACGCAAGCAUAAAUAGUUCGGAUAUUAUGGCUUUUUAUAUUAUUGUUAUUGGUUGCACUUGUUGGAUUUAUUGGCAAAUUCUCACUGAUUUAGAUUAAUAGCUGAAGCAAUUGAAGUCACCGAGCGCCCGAUAAGUGGGCCGGGGGUGCGAGUUCAACCGGGUGCGGCCCAGGCGCCCGUCUGAUUAAGGCUGGGUCUAGCCCAAGUCAAGUCAAUUUGGAUCUCUGGUUCGAUUGAACCAGAUGAGAACGGCAUCCACAAAUUCGCACCCGUGCCCUAAAUGCAGCGGUGAAACUGUCUCCUUCUCCACAGCGACCGCGACUGCGGCGUUUUCCUUGGCGAAAGGCGGCAGCUGCGGUGGCAUCUUCCUACGUCGAGCUCUUAUCGCUGCGGCGUUUUCCUCGGCAAACGGUGGAUGCUGCGGUUUCCUCUCCGUCGGCGAACGGUGAUAGCGCCCGGUAUCUCUCUCUUACACAUCCUCCUCCUCCUCUUCCUCCUUCUCCGUCGCAAAAUCCCUUCCCCUCUCUCUUUCCCCGUUCAUCGCAGCCCACCGCCGCCCCGGCCUCAUCGCUGCCCCCUUUCCCCAAUCCCUCCUUCCUCUUCCCCUUUCGCCACAGCUCUCCCUCUUCCCCGACACCGUCCCACGACUCCAUAUGUAGCUGACGCUACAUAUAAUUUUUUUAGUGUAGUUUAAGUUAUUUACAUGAGGAAUCUUUCUCAUAAAUUAAGUUCCUUUAUCAGCAUAGAACCAAAUAAACUAGUAGCAUUUCUUGAUUGAGGCAGUUUUCUUAUCCCUUUAUUCAUUUUUCAGAAAAUUUAUUGCCUUUCUCUGGCCUUCCAGCUAUGUUGUUUUUUUUUGGUCAAGUUGCUCAUCAUCAUCAACAAUGCCCUUUUUAGCAUGUUGAACCUCACAAAUUACCCUUGUUAAUUAAUUAAACAGUGUCUUUUCUGCUUACCAGUCUUGCUAGACUUUUAACUAGAUCAUCUCUUUACAUUCUUAAUGAAAUGGAUCAAUUACUCCCCAAUGUUUCAGAUUUUAGUUGUAGGACAUUAGUGAAAUCGAUGUUAGAAAAAACAUUAUGCAUCUUCCAGUUAUUCUGAAUUCUGUAGUACCAUUUGCAAGUCAUUGAUGUUCAACCUAUAAGUAUAAACAUGAGUAUCGUCUGUAUACGAUCGACAUUGUAAAUGCCUAUGCCACUCUUAUGCAGCAUAUUUGAUGAAGACACAUUUGAUAUGGUUUUUAAAUUGCUACAGGGAUAUCUGAUGCUUGGUAGUGUCUAAACCCACCAACUACAAUAUAAAAAUAAGUGGAAGAUAGUGUCUGUGCGCUGGUGUUAUAUGAUGCCAUUAUUUCAGUGGUGGAGAAUUGCCCGGUUGUGAGCAUUAGAAUGAGUAACUAAUUAUAGGUACUUGUUAUCAACUCUCAAACACCAUUUAGAGACUUAUCUCUGGCAGAAAUGGCUGAUUGGAACUGAAUGCAUGUGGAUUAACACGAGUGGUAUAGGAAUGUUGUCUGAGACAGAUGAUUAGUAGAAAGUUUUCAACAUCCUUGAUUUGAGGUAGAAGAGGAAUUUGGACUUGGAGAGGGCAGAUUAAGACUACUUUUCUUGUAUUUUUCUGCAAACAGUACGUGAUACUGCCUCGAAAGACAAUGUUUUUGGUGCAGAAAAGGCUCUUUUGCCUUCUCUCAUGUAACAAGUCCACCAUCCAUGUUUCCUCCUAUCAACUCUGCAGUCUGUUUAGAUUUUCCACUGCCGAAGAGCACAGUUCAAAUCAUGGAUCAAACUUUACGUUGGUCGACCCCCUUGAGUCAUGUGAACUUUCCUCAAAAGAGGCUGCAAAAAGGGCCAAGGAUCGCAUCUGUGAAAAAGAACUUACAAGUUCAAGUCCUUCCAUUGAGUUCUUCAAGCAGAGCGGUUGGAGUGAUGCACUAGUCAUGAAGCUUUUGCAGAGGGAACCCAGGUUGUUGCUCGCUAAUGUAGAGACUGCCCUGAAGCCCAGGAUGAGAUCCUUGCAGGACAUGGGAUUUUCUGACACUGAAAUAAUUCAGCUGGUUUCAUCAUGUCCUACUCUGCUCCGUUUAAGUGAUAUCCAACCAAGGAUCAACUUCUGGAGGUCACUUCUUGGUUCUAAUGAGAGGUUAAUUAAAGCCAGCAGGAGGAACAUAUUUCUCCUUACUUCUAGCUUGGCUCAAAAGAUUGAGCCCAAUAUAUCUCUCUUGAGGGAAUGUGGCAUCAGUGAGCAAUGCAUCACGCAGAUGCUGGUGGUAGUACCGAGUUUUUUUUGUCGAAAGAACAAUUGUGUCAAUGAAUCUAUCAAACGUGUUGAGGAGUUUGGUGUGUCACGUGACAGUAAAAUGUUCCCUCAGGUACUUUUAACAGUCAUGACCCUCAGCUGGUCCAGGUUUCAUGCUACUUUUGAAACCCUGAUGAGCUUUGGGUGGUCCCAACCAGACAGCAUUGCUGCAUUCAGUAGGUAUCCAGUCAUUUGGAAUUACUCAAAGAAGAACUUAUCUGACAAGAUGACAUUCCUGAUGAAGGAAGCUGGUUGUGAGCUGACAUAUAUCGUUGGUCAUCCCAUGCUUCUUACAUAUAGCUUGGAGAAGAGGUUGAGACCUCGAUAUGAAGUUAUGAAUUUUCUUGAUCAGAAUAAAUUGCUGGAUAAAGGACAUGACCUGCUAUCUGUCAUCCUGCUAUCUGAAGAGAAGUUCAGAAACAAAUUCCUUUUCCUGCUACGCAAGGAGAAAUUUAUUGCUCAAUAUGAUUCCUAUGUUGUUGCUGUGCGGGGAAAGCACUACGUUGUUGUGGAAAACUAGGAUUGCAAGUGCUUCCUUAAGACAAAGUGUCGACCUAUUGCAUGCUGACUGCAAAUUAAUCAUUUUACAUUUGUGACAAUUUAAAAUUCUCCUUGAGUUUCUUGGAGUAUAACUUCCCUGUUGAUUUGGUGAUUGUUCUUCUAUUUAUGUUUUCUACAACAAAUGGUACUCAUUCUUUUAUGCUGAUGUCUCAGAAAUUGGUGUGGGGGAAAGUCAAUUACUUAAGAAAGGUAACCAAAAUAUCAAGCUUUUGUUUUCUGUUUCUAUCAUAUUUACCUGAUUCUGGCAGCCAUAUUGAUUACUGUGCUGUCAUUUAGAUGAUUGUGAUCUAAUUUAAUAAGGAUACCUUCCUUUUGAAUGGGGACAUCUCAAAGAAUUAUGUAAGAGCCGCUUGGACGGAAAAUACUUCAAAGGCAACCACAGAUGUGGAUAUGACUAACAUUUUUGUUGUAGUCAUAUACACACUCGCUCAUUAAAUAAUUAAGUCCAGUUUAACCGUUUAAUUGAACGCAUUAAACAACCUAUCUAUAUUAAGUUUGAUACACAUCUGUAUUGUUAUAUAAUUAGAUUGUGUGUUUUACUUUGCUUGUGCGAUCUAAUAGACCCAACAUUGCUCCCGUUUAAUUGUGUGUUUCAUUUUUUUCUUAUAAUGUUGUAUUAUCAUUUUGGUGUCUUCAACAUAAGGAAUAGUAUCAUUAUUUUUUUAGUGAUAUGUUUAGUUACUAAAACUUUAACUUAAUAAAAAUUUCUAAGAGGAAAGACUCAGAAAAGUGAACAAAAUAUAUUGUUGGAUGGUUGUGGGGGAACUAUUGAUUAUAAAUCAGUAAUGAUGUUAUGAUGUUGAAGAGUGUAAACUUCUUUUUAAAAAUUAUGAAAAGACAUAAAAGAUAUGCAUUUGUAAGAUUUUGGAUAAUAAAAAAAUACAAAUGAAGUUUACAUUUUUCAGCAAUAGUUUUUGAACCAAACAAUAACCUUUAGUACUUUGAAUAAUUAUCUUAUUGAAUUGUUUCUCAAACACUAUGUACUUCUAUGUUUUUUAUCAUGGGAAUGACCUAUUAAGUUGUAACAUCAUUAACUAUUUUUGUUUUUUUUCUUUUUCAUUAGGUCUCAAUAAAAUUCAUCUAUAUUUUUAUAAGGUCGAUAAAAUCAUCAUCUAAGUAAGAUACUUGAAACGGAUUAUAUAAACUACUCCUGUUGGGAUGCAUAUGUAAGUUAUGACAUACUACUCCAAAAUAGACCCAAAAUCUCAAUGCAUUUAGUUAACUAUAACUAGUCCUAACUAAAUCACAACUGAUUUGUUCUGACGGGUUUGAAUCACAACUGAAUCAAUGCAUUUAGUUAGGUAUAAAUAUGACUGGUUUGAAUUGAAUCAAACAGGUUCGUUGAUUGCAAAUCAAAUCGUAAUCUACCAGGGGUAAUUUAAUUGAGGUUCCUAGGUUUGAAAAAUUAAAAUCAAUGAUCCCAUAAUUGAUUAUUCCGCUUCCUAUUUAAACCAUCGAUUUGAUGGUGUUUUAUAUAGAUAAAAAACCCCAAUCAAAUAGGUUAUAGAUGGAUAAUUGGGCUUAAACAAUUGGGCCCAAUAGUAUGUGCUUGGACCAACAAUCGAAUGAAUGUCAAAUUGGCUAUAUUUAUGGGUACUUUAGUUAUUUUAUAAUUAAAAAUAUUAAAAUUAGAAAAUAAAUUAGUCAUUCCAAUAAGCAAAUAAUAGCUAGUUAUGAAGAUAUUUUAAGAAAAUAAAAAUAAAAACCCUAUAGAUACCCCCAAAAAAUCUUUUAUUGUUUCUCAGAUUAAGUAUUUGUUGAAGUUUGAAUGAUUUGAUGCUCUUUUCUUAAUCCGAUAGCAAGUGGAAGCUAUCACUUCACCAUUGAGGAGGCUUUUGGAUCAUGUGAAACAUUAGCUAUAUUUAUUUUUGUUAAAUAUUUAUUUAUAUCUACAAUGGAAUGUCUGUGAAAUAGUUUUAAAAAUUUUAAAAGUUUUUAGAAUGGUAACAUAUAGUUUGACUAGUGUUUAUAUGUUACUGUAAAUUUUUUUUCUUAGUUGUUUGCAUUGAUAUAGUUGGUGCAUUAUAAGAAUAUCAAUACGAUAAUAAUUUAAAUUUGAUAAUAAUGGCUACAAAAUAAAAAAUAUAAAUUAUUAUUAUUAAAUUUAUUGAUUUAUUUAAUUAUAUGGGUUUUUAAUUUUGUAUAGAUUAAAUGACUUUUGUAAUUAUUUAACCGCUUAUUAUGAAAGUUUAGGAGUCGAUGAUAUUAGUGAUAAGAUUAAAGAUAUUAAAAAAUUAAUUAUUAACUUACAUAAUGUUAACUAUAGUAGACAACAUGAUACCUUUGAAACUUCUUGGAUCUAAGUUAGCAAAGGUAAUAAAAUUUGUAAGGGAGAAAAACUAUUAUUACAAAGACAAAAGCAUCGAAAGGAUCUUAAAGCUAAAACUUCAAGUUUAUUUUGUAUCUAAUAAUGUUUUUAAAGUUUGAUGAUAGCUCUAAGUAUAGAGUUUUCUAUUCUUGAAUAAUGGACAUGAUACAUAAAAACAUUUUUAGUUUUAAGGAUUAAUACUAGUACUUUAGUGUCCAUAGUAUCUGUGGAGUCAACCUUCAAUAUAAGAGGACGAGUUCUAUGUGAAACUAGAUUAAAUAUGACUCUCGAACCAAUUGAUGUUUAAGUAUGUAUUAAUAGAUAAAAGCGAUAAAAUAGAACCAAUACAAAGAUGUCCAAUAUUAAAAUUGAUUAAAUAUUUAUAAAUUUACAUAAAUUUGUAUUAACUUUUUUUAUUAUAUCCUAACACAUUAUACAUCCAUGUUUAAAUUAAAAAAAUUAUAAUUUUUAAAUAAAAAUAAUAAAAAAAAUAUCAGUUCAAACUAAAAUCAAAAUCGAUCAAACUGGAACUGAACCUUACCGGUUCGAUUUUUUAUUAUAAAUUUUGCCAAACUAGAAAUGAUAAUUCCGGAAUUGAAAUCAAUUUACUUAGACUAGAUAUAACCUUACUGAAAGCCACCCUCUCCAUAAUCUGAGACUUGUUCUUUAACUCAAAACACAAUGCCCUAUCAAUAUUAAGAUUAUCAAAUCUUAUAUUUGCUGGUUUAGUUAGUGAGUUGAAGGAGAAUAUAAUAAUAUGGUAACAAUAAAAAGAGAUUUGAAUGCUUUAAAUUUGACUACAUAUGUUUUCUUACACAGAGCAUAAAUAGUUUGGAUAUUAUGGCUUUUGUUAUUAUUGUUAUUGUUUGCACUUGUUGGAUUUGUUAGCAAAUUCUCACUGAUUUAGAUUAUGUCAGUGAAGAUUCUCACUGAUUUAGAUUAUGGUUUUAUUGAGAAAGUUCUUUACUACAGCUGAAGCCAUUGAUGUCACCGGCCGCCCGAUAAGUGGGCCGAGCGAGCGAGUUCAACCGGGUGCAGCCCAGGCGCCCACGUGAUUCAGAUUGCCUCAAGCCCGAGUCAAGUCAAUUUGGACAAAUGGUUCGAUUGAACCAGAUGAGAACGGCUUCCUCAAAAUUCCCACCCGUGCCCUAACUGCAGAGGUGAAACUGUCUCCUCCUAUACAGCGACCGCGAAUGCGGCGUUUUACUUGGCGAAAGGCGGCUGAAGCGGCGGCAUCUUCCUCCGUCGAGCUCUUAUCGCUGCGGCGUUUUCCUCGGAGAACGGUGGAUGCUGCGGCUUCCUCUCCGUCGGCGAAUGGUGACAGCGCCCGGUAUCUCUCUCUUACUCCUCCUCCUCUUCCUCCGUCGCCGUUAAUUAUAUGUGCUUUCCUCCGUCGCACAAUUCCUUCCCCUCUCUCUUCCCCCGUUCAUCGCAGCCCACGGCCGCCCCCGCCUCGUCGCUGCCCCCUUUCCCCAAUCCCUCCUUCCUCUUCCCCUUUCGCGACAGCUCUCCCGCUUCCCGCUUCCCGCUUCCCCGACACCGCCCCCAGACUCCAUAUGUAGCUGAUGCUACAUAUAAUUUUUUUUACUGUAGUUGAAGUUAUUUACAUGAGCAAUCUUUCUCAUAAAUUAAGUUCUUUUAUCAGCAUAGAACCAAAUAAACUAGUAGCAUUUCUUGAUUGAGGCAGUUUUCUUAGCUCUGUAUUCAUUUUUAAGAAAAUUUAUUGCCUUUCUCUGGUCUUCCAGCUAUGUUGUUUUUUUUUUUUGUCAAGUUGCUUAGCAUCAUCAACAAUGCCUUUUUUAGCAUGUUGAACCUCACAAUUUACUGUUGUUAAUUAAUUCAACAGUGUCUUUUCUACUGACCGGUCUUGCAAGACUUAUAACUAGAUCAUCUCUCUAAAUUCUUGAUGAAAAGGAUCAAUUAUUCUGGAAGUGCUUAUUUGAAAUGUUCCAGGUUUUAGUUAUAGGACAUUAGUGAAUCUGAUGUUAGAGAAAACAUUAUGCACCUUCCUGUUACUCUGAAUUCUGUACUACCAUUUGCGAGUCAUUGAUGUUCAACCUACAAGUAUAAACUUGAGUAUCGUCUGUGUACGAUCGACAUUGUAAAUGCCUAUGCCACUCUUAUGCAGCAUAUUUGAUGAAGAUACAUUUGAUAUGGUUUUUCAAUUGCUACAGGGAUAUAGGAUGCUUGAUAGUGUCUAAACCCACCAACUACAAUAUAAAAAUAAGUGGAAGAUAGUGUCUGUGCUCUGGUGUUAUAUGAUGCCAGUAUUUCAGUGGUGGAGAAUUGCUCGGAUGUGAGCAUUAGAAUGAGUAACGAAUUAUAGGUACUCGUUAUCAACUCUCAAACACCAUUUAGAGACUUAUCUCUGGAAGAAAUGGCUGAUUGGAGCUGAAUGCAUGUGGAUUAACACGAGUGGUAUAGGAAUGUUGUCUGAGACAGAUGAUUAGUAGAAAUUUUUCAACAUCCUUGAUUUGAGGUAGAAGAGGAAUUUGGACUUGGAGAGGGCAGAUUAAGACUACUUUUCUUGUAUUUUUCUGCAAACAGUACGUGAUACUGCCUCAAAAGACAAUGUUUUUGGUGCAGAAGAGGCUCUUUUGCCUUCUCUCGUGUAACAAGUCCACUGUCCAUGUUUCCUCCUAUCAACUCUGCAGUCUGUUUAGCUUUUCCACUGCCGAAGAGCACAGUUCAAAUCAUGGAUCCAACUUUACGUUGGUCGACCCCCUUGAGUCAUGUGAACUUUCCUCAAAAGAGGCUGCAAAAAGGGCCAAGGAUCGCAUCUGUGAAAAAGAACUUUCAAGUUCAAGUCCUUCCAUUGAGUUCUUCAAGCAGAGCGGUUGGAGUGAUCCACUAGUCAUGAAGCUUUUGCAGAGGGAACCCAGGCUUCUACGUGCUAACGUAGAGACUAUCCUGAAGCCUAGGAUGAGAUCUUUGCAGGACAUGGGAUUUUCUGACACUGAAAUAGUUCAGCUGGUUUCAUCAUGUCCGUGUCUGCUCUAUAUACGUGAUAUCCAACCAAGGAUCGACUUCUGGAGGUCACUUCUUGGUUCUAAUGAGAUGUUAAUUAAAGCCUGCAGGAGGAACAUGUUUCUCCUUGCUUCUAGCUUGGCUCGAAAGAUUGAGCCCAAUGUAUCUCUCUCGAGGGAAUGUGGCAUCAGUGAGCAACACAUCGCGCAGAUGGUAGUGAGACUACCAAGUUUUUUAUGUCAUACAGAAAAAUGUAUCAAGGAAGCGAUCAAACAUGUUGAGGAGUUGGGUGUGUCACGUGACUGUAAAAAGUUCCCUCGUGCACUUUUAACAGUCGUGACGCUGAGCAGGUCCAGGCUUGAUGCUACCUUUGCAACCCUGAUCAGCUAUGGGUGGUCCCAACCAGAUUGCGUUGCUGCAUUCAGGAAGCAUCCAUCCAUUUGGUCUUUGUCAAAGAAGACCUUAUGUGACAAGAUGACAUUCCUGAUGAAGGAAGCUGGUUGUGAGCUGACAUAUAUCAUUUGCCGUCCGGUGCUUCUUACAUAUAGCUUGGAGAAGAGGUUGAGACCUCGAUAUGAAGUUCUGAAUUUUCUUGAUCAGAAUAAAUUGCUGGAUAAAGGACAUGACCUGCUAUCUGUCAUCCUGCUAACUGAAGAGAAGUUCAGAAACAAAUUCCUUUUCCUGCUACGCGAGGAGAAAUUUAUUUCUGUGCAGGGAAAGCACGAUGUUGUUGCGGUAACCUAGGAUUGCAAGUGCUUCCUUAAGACAAAGUGUAAACCUAUUGCAUGCUGACUGCAACUUAAUCAUUUUACAUUUGUGACAAUUUAAAUUCUCCAAGAGUUUAUUAGAGUAGAACUUCCAUGUUGAUUUUGGGAUUUUUCUUCUAUUUAUUUUUUUCUACAACAAAAGAAGACUGAUUCAUUUAUGAUGAUGUCUCAGAAAUUGGAGUUUGGGGGAAAGUCUAUUACUUGGGAAAGGUAACCAAAAUAUCAAGCUUUUGUGUUCUGUUUCUACCAUAUUUAGCUGAUUCUGCAGCUGGUCGAUCAGCGCCAACUUGGCCAUGUUAAUUGUUGUGAACUCAUAUUCGUAACUUUGCUGUCAUUUAGAUGAUUGUGAUCUAAUUAAUAAUGACACCUUCCUUUUGAAGGUUAUGGAAUUAUGUAAGAGCCACUUGGACGGAACAUUAAAAAUUUACGACCUACACUUUAAUUUAACGCAUUAAACUACAUAUCUAUAUUAAAUUUUGGUACACAUCUGUGUUGUUACAUAAUUAGGUUAAGUAUUUGACUUUGUGGCUCACGUGUUUGGUUUCAUUUAAUUAUUGAGACCCAUGCAUAUUGUCACAUUUGGUCAUUUAAUUAUAACAUUCUGUUCAAGCACACUAGAAAAUUUCAACAAUCAUCAAAAUACUAAAUGAUCGAAAGGUGCCAAAUAAAACUAUAACGUGACUUAUUAUCAAACUCAAAAAUAAACCUAAAAUCUCAAUGUAUUUGAUUAAGUAUAACCUAACACCUUUUAUCUCCGCGUAUUCCUCUCUUGUAGGACUGUAAGCCAUUAUCUCGGCAACUUGAGGCUCGUUCGUACCUUAAAACACGUUGCACUGCUUAUAUUUAAAUUAUCAAAUCUUCUAUUUGAUGGUUUGGUUGGUUAUUUAAAGGAGAAUUUACUAGUAACAAUACUAAGAGAUUUUAAAAGUGCUAGGUAGGUCAAGCACUCAUCUGAUUCAACUGAGUCAGGAGCCCAUUUCAUUGGUAAACCAUAAAUUCAAACCUAAGAAAAUGAUUAUAUAUCUAGUGUAACAAAACAUAUGAAUAUGUCAAACCAUAAAUGAAUUUGCAUUGUAAUUACCUCAUAUAGUCCAUUGUGAAUGAAUCUGCAUUAGAAAAUAAAAAUGAAUUGGCAACAAUAAACAUGUGGUCUACAAAAUGGUUCAGUUCUAUUUUGAUGAAGUGUUUGGUUCAUCAAAUCUGUUAGUUUCUUUAUCUUAUCUACCUUACUUCUUUUUCAAACACACCAAUAAAUUUCAAUAAUCAACAAAACCCCAAAUGAUCGAAAUAUUCUAAACAACUAUAACAUAACUUAUUUCCAAACUCCAAAAUAGACCCAAUAUCUAAAUGCAUUUAGUUAAGUAUAACUAGUCCUUAUCUAGAUCCAAUUUGAAUCAUAACUAUAUCAAAUUGAUAAUUAAUUAUAGUUCUUGGAUUUGAAAAAUUAAAAAUAUAGGUCCAAUGAUUCCGAUUCUAAUUUGAAUCAUCAAUUUGAUCAUUUUUAUAUAAAAAAAAUUGUUGGGCUCUAAUGAUAAGGCCCAACAGUCAUUGCUUGGCCCAACAAUCGGAGAAGAAAACGAUUCGUUUAUCCCAGUGAUAUAAAUGACUAUAUUUAUGGAUAUUUUAGUUAUUUUAUAAUUUAAAUUUUAAAAAAAUUAUCCUUUCAACAACCAAGUAAUCGAUAGUUUUGGAGAUAUUUUAAAGAAAAAAAUAAAAAACCUUAUAAAUACUCUUGAAAUCUCUAAUUCUGUCUCACAUCAUUGAUUAAGCGCUCAUUAAAGUUUGAAUGCUCUAAUGCUUUUUUCUUAACAUGAUGGUAAGUGGAAGCUACAACUUGGAUAUCAAGCUGAAGGAAACAGAUAUGAUGACUAAACUCAAGUUAGACAUAUUCGACUAUACUUAAAAAAUGUCUAAAACAUCGAUGACUCCUUCCAUAUCACAUGGAAUUAUUAGAGUUAAAAAUUUUAAAUUUAAAGAAGAAAAAAGAUAAGAACAUUAUGGAAAAAACAUCCAAUAGCUAUACUAAUUCAUUUUUUAGUACCAUACUAAUUCAUUUUUUUUAUUUUUUAUAUUAAAAAUAUGAAACAUUAGCUAUAUUAAGUUUUGUUAAAUAUUUAUCUUUUAAUUUCGAUGAAAAAAUUAGAUUUAUUGAUUAUUGUCAAGGCUUUAAAUCCUACCACACUUGCUCACACAUUAUAUAAUUUUUAUAAAAAAAAAUAUUAUGUUUCCAUUUAUUUUGAUAUUUAGAGUGAUCACUAACAAAUAUACACAUAUAUAGGAAUCACUUAUCAUUGGAUUGAUAGCAAUUGGACCAUAUAUAAAAAAUUAUUGCUUUUAGAGUUUUUGUUGAAUGGCAUAUAAUCAAUAAUAUUUAUGAAAUGAUAAAUUUUAUAAUAUAUAAUUUGAUUCUUAAAUUUUUCCAUUGAUUUUAAUAAUACAAUGAUAAAUACCGCUUUUAUUUUGAAAUUACAAGAAGCUAGUCAGCUUGUUUUCCAUGGUUUUUUUUUUCAUGUUAGAUGUGCUUGUCAUAUUUUGAAUUUGUGUGCACAACAAGGACUUGGAUCUUUUUGAACUUUUAUAUCUCCUAUUAAGCAACCUAUUUCAUUCUUGUGAAGUCAUCCAUAAGUAAUGAAAAAAUAAGUUAAAUUUUACAAAUUAAAUGAUAAAAAGAUCAAAAUAUUUUUUAGAGAUGUUUCUACCUAAUGGAAUUCAAUAUAUAAAUUAUUUUAAAAAUCUUUUGAAUAUAAAAAAUAUUAUAUAUUUUUUAUUUCAAAUAAUAUUAUGAAAGUUUACUUAUAUUCACAACAUUGGAAUGUAUGUGAAAGAAUUUUUAAAUUUUUUAAUAAUUUAAUAUAUAUUUUACUAGUGUUUAUUAUCUUACUAUGCAUAUUUUUGUUGUUGUUUGUAUUAAUAUGCUUAGUUAAUUAUAAGAAUAUAAAUAUGAUAAUAAUUUUAAUAUGAUAAUAAUGAUUAUAAAAUAAAAAAAGAGAAAAUAUUUUUUAAUUCUAUCGAUUUUUUUAAUUACAUAUGUUUUUAACCCUCGUAGAAGAUUAAGUGACUAUAGUAAUUAUUCAAUUAUUUAACCACUUAUUAUGAAAGUUUAGGAGUCAAUGAUAUUGGUCAUAAAAUUAAAGAUUGUUAAAUCUCGAAUUUUAUGGUAAAAUCGAUUGAUGAAGUUGUGAUUUAAUAUGUGUUUGAAUAACGUAAGAUUAAUCUCGAUCAAGGAAAAGUAAUUCGAAUAAAGAAGAAAUAAUCAUACGUUGGGCUGAAGUAGAACAUGUCAAAAGAUUGGACGUCAGGCUGGAGGACUGGUUGAUAUGUCGGAAGGAUUUCAUGCCAUGAGUUCGAGCAUCGGGUCUAUCAUGUCGAUUGGGUAAUAUAUUGAAAGAGAUGAUGAUGCAUCAAAAGACCAGAUGAAGCAUCGAAUGAAUCAAUAAUAUGCUAGAUAAGAUAUGAUUCAUUCUUAUAAUUGUGUGUUUAGAUCAAGUUAAUUUAGAUCUAAUUGACUCAAUUUUGGGAUAAAACAAUGCAACUCAAUUAGGGGCUCAUUGGGCCUAAGUUGGGGUUGUUUUGGGCCAAGUGGAAGGCCCAUUCAGUGACCUUGAACUGGCCCAAGCGGUGGCACCGCUUGAGGCUUAGCUUCCUAAGGUGUCUGGGUGGUGAUAUCACCCAAACAAAAUCUUCGAGACUAUGUGAAGCGGUGGUACUGACUAGUGUUAAUGUGAGACUAGGCGAUAGUACCAUAUAGUGUCAGACUGACAGACGAUAGUACCACCCAGUGUCAGACUGAUAGGUGGUGGUACCGCUAAUUGUCAGUCCGGUAGGUGGUGGUACCGUCCAGUAUUGACGAUGGUACCGCUAGUACCUUGAAAACCCGGGAUGAGACUGUUUUGAUUCUAAAUUUGAAUCCAUUUGAGGUCUGUAAAUAUCCUACUCAUCCCUGCUCGGUUAACACAAGAAUUGAGAAUAAAUUUGUAAGAAAACGCUAUUGUAAUUUAGUGAGAAUUUUUCUCAUUUUCUCAAUUUUUGUUUAAGGGAGGGGUGAGUGACUUAUAAAGGUUAUCUUUUAAACCUGAGAAAAGUAUUGUAAUAGGGUAUUUAAUCUUCGCCUAUUGAAAGAAGAUUGAUAGUGAAAGUUGGUGGCCUCGAUGGAGGAAGAAUCAGGAUUGAUGUAGGUCACGAUGACCGAAUCACUAUAAACGCGAUGUGCACUUUAAAUUAUUGUUGUCUAUUGAUUCAACCGUUACUGUUUUUGCUUGUACUCUACAUUUAAACAUCUUUUCGAUAUGAGAUUUAUCGAAUAAAAAUUUUGAAUCGAUGUAAUUUUUAUAAAAGUACUUAUUCACCCCCCUUUCUUAGUGCCAAUUUCGAUCAUAAUAGAAAUAUUAAAAAAUUAAUUAUUAACUUAUAUUACUAUUAUAGUGCUAACUAUAAUAGACAACCUUCCAAACUUCUCUAUCAAUAGAUCAAGUUAUUAGAGAAAAUAAAAAUUGUAAGAGAGAAAACCUAUUAUUACAAAGAUAAAAAAAUCAAAGGGAUCAUCAAGGUCAAUCUAACAAAUUUUUUUUAGUGUUGCGACAAUACUAGUAGAAAGUUCUUAACUACGGCCGAAACCAUUGAUGUCACCGGCCGCCCGAUAAGUGGGCCGGGCGAGCGAGUUCAACCGGGUGCAGCCCAGGCACCCGAAUGAUUCAGGUUUCGUCGAGCCCGAGUCAAGUAAAUUUGGUUCUCUGGUUCGAUUCAACCAGAUGAGAACGACAUCCUCAAAUUCGGACCCGUGCCCUAAAUGCAGCGGUGAAACUGUCUCCGUCUCUACAGCGACCGCGACUGCGGCGUUUUCCUUGGCGAAAGGCGGCAGCAGCGGCGGCAUCUUCCUCCGUCGAGCUCUUAUCGCUGCGGCGUUUUCCUCCGAGAACGGUGGAUGCUGCGGCUUCCUCUCCGCCAGCGAACGGUACAGCGUCCGGUAUCUCUCUCUUACUCCUCCUCCUCUUCCUCCUCCAUCGCCGUUGCAGAAUCCCUUCUCCUCCCUCCUCCUGCCUCUUCCCCCAUUCGUCGCAGCUCUCCCGCUUCCCCGACACCAUCCUCCUCCUCCCUUCUCCUUCCUCCUCCCUCUUUCACCCGUUCAUCGCAUCCCCCCGCCCCUCUUCCCCUCCCCCUCGCCCUCCUCCACUUCAUCACAGGCCCCGCCCCCCGUUUUCCUUCUCCGAUCCCAACAGUCCCCUCUCCGUUUUCCUACUCCGCACCCGACAGCCCCCUCUCCAUUAUCUUGCUCCGGCCUCGACAGCCACCAUCUCCCUCCUCUACACCCCUCUUCGCUCUCUCUACACAUCUUCCCCUCCCCUUUCCUUCUCCCUGAUAGUUACUCGCUACCCUCCCAACAAGCAGUCAGCAGCUUAUCAUGAGCAUUUACUUAAAAGAAAUAGAAAGUCACAGUAUGCAUGUUAAAUACUGUUGUUAAGAUAGACAGCAGGAGAAGUGCUGCUUUUAUAAAGAGCAAAGGGAAUUGGGGAGUCUUAGAGAAAAAGAAAAAAACAUGGAAAAGAUAGAACAAGAGAUAGCAGAGACAAUAAUUGGGUCACUGUCCAAAGAAAAUCAUAAUUAUUUCAGUAGAAUCAUGCACAAGUCUGACUAUUCCUCAUGUGAAGCAUUUUAAUUAAAAAUAUACCUAACAUAAUACUAAUCUGACUAGGUUUCCCAAUAGAAGCUCUCUCAACAGCAACUGCUUAUUUUGAUGAAGCGUUUGGUUCAUCAGACCUCUUAGUUUUCUUAUUAUCUUUACUGCAUUGCAGUUUCUUUUUCAAGCACAUCAGAAAAUUUCAACACAAAACCCCAAAUG